AGGUCACAUGGCUUACUUUCUUAAGGCUAAUUAAUUUCAGUAAUUAUAGCCUUAUACCAGCUGCAGGAUGCAUUGGUGACCAAGUGAAAUCAGCUGUGGACAAUUCUUUUCCAUUCUAUAGUGGUACAUCCGGGAGAAAACUACUCAUGUUUUGAAGGGUAAUUUUCAGUAGAAACAGGAAGCUAAUCCAGUCCACCAGGGAGUCCCGUAACCCCCUCUUGUGUCAAAGGGAAACUCUCAUAGGAAACGAACAGCAAGGGUGAAAUGGAAGAGUAACCACUCUUUGAUGAAAAAGUAAUUCUAAUCCAGCUAAACUCAAUAAUGAAAGUGGAGCUCUGGAUUUGUGUUUAUCCAUUUCUUCUUUAACU
rnacentral:lncRNA from 1 species